rnacentral:rRNA from 1 species
GAUUAACGCUAGCGGCAGGCCUAAUACAUGCAAGUCGCACGGGAUUUCGGGUAGCAAUAUCUGAAUGAGAGUGGCGCACGGGUGCGUAACACGUAUGCAAUCUACCUUUAACUGGGGAAUAGCUCACCGAAAGGUGAAUUAAUACCGCAUAAAAUCACAGAAGGACAUCCUUCAAUGAUUAAACCUACGGGGGUUAAAGAUGAGCAUGCGUCCGAUUAGCUAGUGGCGGGGUAAUAGCCCACCAAGGCAACGAUCGGUAGGGGUCUGAGAGGAUGAUCCCCCACACUGGUAC